rnacentral:misc_RNA from 1 species
UCCGGUUUGUCACCGGCAGUCUGGUGUGAGUUCCCACCUAAAUGUUGGCAACUAAUGAUAAGGGUUGCGCUCGUUGCGGGACUUAACCCAACACCUCACGGCACGAGCUGACGACAGCCAUGCAGCACCUGUGCAAAUGUCCCGAAGGAAAGCCCUAUUUCUAGGGCGGUCAUCUGCAUGUCAAGCCUGGGUAAGGUUCUUCGCGUUGCAUCGAAUUAAACCACAUGCUCCACUGCUUGUGCGGGUCCCCGUCAAUUCUUUUGAGUUUCACCCUUGCGAGUGUACUCCCCAGGCGGUAUACUUAACGCGUUAGCUACGGCACAACCGGGGUUGAGUCCAGUUACACCAAGUAUACAUAGUUUACGGCAAGGACUAC